rnacentral:rRNA from 1 species
GACGAACGCUGGCGGCGUGCUUAACACAUGCAAGUCGAACGGAAAGGUCCUGCUUGCUGGGUGCUCGGGUGGUGAACGGGUGAGUAACACGUGGGUGAUCUGCCCCUUACUUUGGGAUAAGCCUGGGUAACUGGGUCUAAUACUGGAUAGGACCAUGCUGUAGGUGGUGUGGGGGAGCGAUUAGUUUCGGUAAUGGUUGGGUUCGCGGCCUACCAGGUUGUUGUUUGGGUAUUGGCGUACCAGGUCGUCGACGGGUAGGCGGCCUGGGCGGGUGGACGGCCAAAUUGCGACUGAGGUACGGACCAGACUCCUACGGGAGGCAGCAGUGGGGAAUAUUGCACAAUGGGCGAAAGCCUGAUGCAGCGACGCAGCGUGGGGGAUGACGGCAUUCGGGUUGUAAACUCCUUUAAGCCAUGACGAAGCCCUUGUGGUGACGGUAGUGGUAGAAGAAGCACCGGCUAACUACGUG